rnacentral:lncRNA from 1 species
UUGGAUCUUCUCUACAAUCAUAGUAGAGCUCAAAAGAACUUUGUUCAGGGUCCAGCUAACUGCCCCACAGCUAUUGUUGGAGUGUCAUAUGGGCAUCUCUCUCAUCUCCCAGAUCGAUGGCAUCGUCUAGGACUUCCCACAUAGACAAGAUAAACGAAAGGCUUCCAUGGACAGGAAGAGAUGAAGAUCCUCAGGUCUGGAGGAGAGAGAGAAGCAGAAUGGUAAAGCAAGAUUGAGGCUAUCGUGAGUGUCCUUCAUAUAAUGCCUUGAACUCAACUCUGGACAAGUCAAGUACCAUGGUGA